rnacentral:rRNA from 1 species
UACGUAGGGUGCAAGCGUUGUCCGGAAUUAUUGGGCGUAAAGAGCUCGUAGGCGGUCUGUCGCGUCGGCUGUGAAAACCCGGGGCUCAACCCCGGGCCUGCAGUCGAUACGGGCAGACUAGAGUGCGGUAGGGGAGACUGGAAUUCCUGGUGUAGCGGUGAAAUGCGCAGAUAUCAGGAGGAACACCGGUGGCGAAGGCGGGUCUCUGGGCCGUAACUGACGCUGAGGUGCGAAAGCGUGGGGAGCAAACAGG